rnacentral:RNase_P_RNA from 1 species
UCCGAGAAGCGGUCAUUCGCUGUUCGAGCUUCUGCUCGGGUAGAGGAAAGUCCGGACAUCUCAGGGCAGGAUUCCCUGUGAAAGCGGGGGGGGCUUGCGUCAAGGCAAGUUCACGGCAAGUGCAACAGAAAACAUACCGCCUUCGUUUGAAGGUAAGGUUGAAAUGGUGGGGUAAGAGCCCACCGCCGCCAAGGCGACUUGACGGGCAGUGUAAACCCAAUCCGAUGCAAGGCGAAAUAGGAAACCAGGUUGCCCGCCUUAUGGUUUCGGGUACGUCGCAUCCUCCAUUGGAGGAAUCAAUGCUUGCAUUGAUAGAUAAAUGAAUGGCAUCCGAAUCGAAUUUCGUUCGGAUAACAGAAUCUGGCUUAUAGCUUCUCGGAAUUC